rnacentral:rRNA from 1 species
GACGUAGGAGGCGAGCGUUAUCCGGAUUUACUGGGUGUAAAGCGCGUGCAGGCGGUCUGUCAAGUGGUGCGUGAAAGCGCCCGGCUCAACCGGGCGAGGACGUGCUAAACUGGGAGACUGGAGUAAGGUAGAGGCGUGUGGAAUUCCGGGUGUAGUGGUGAAAUGCGUAGAGAUCCGGAGGAACACCAGAGGCGAAGGCGACACGCUGGACCUUAACUGACGCUCAGACGCGAAAGCAUGGGGAGCGAACGGG